CGGUUGCCGGACGUCAUGACGUCACAGCGGCGCUUGUGACUUGACGAAAUGGAUCCGAGAUCAGCUCGCGGAGGAUCCGAGGGUCUGCGGGUGUCCACCGGCGGAUAGAACCCAAACAUCCACUGACACACACACAGACAGCCGCAGUGCAGAGCUCGGUAGGAUGAACAGGAAUCAAGAUGAUGAGUUUGUUGCAGUGCGGGUCCAGGAUCCCCGCGUUCAAAAUGAAGGCUCGUGGAAUUCAUAUGUGGACUUUAAAAUAUUCCUGCAC